CUCCAGUGUCAUGACCUUGAUGAACCUCCUGAUACAAUACAUUAUGCUCUGAGCUUGCGGCCAAUUGGUUCUGGAAAACUCUUUGAGCAAGUGCCAACUGCUGGAAAUUUCAUCCAGGUGAGCACCAGGUGCUGCUUCUCCAGGGAUUUUCCCGAGGAGAUGGAGUCAUUUCAUGGCCACAGUGUGGUUGGUGUGGGUGCAUUCAGCAGUGGGAGCUGGGACACAGCAGAGAAGGGUCUGGAAGGCAUUCGGGCAAGUCCUUCAGUAUUUUGAUACCGGACACCAUCAUCUUACCAUUAGCACAAAAUAAUUGACUUCCUGUUUAGCUGCAGAAAUGAAUCAGAGGCUAAAAUAGAUGCUGAUUUUCUCAAAGAUAAGUCUGUUUGACUACAUGUGUGAUGAUGGCUCAUCCUUCUGGCAUUGGGAGUGAGAGAUCAGCUUCUUUCUCCACCCUUAAGAGGUCAUAAAGUUUCCACUGACAGAGGGGGGACAUAGUUGUAAAAGAAUUGGAUUAUGAGGACCCAGACAUAGUUCCAGCUGGCCAUAUCUAUGAAAUGACAAUUUCAGUAUUUGAUGACUUACAUCCCUUCCGUACAGUCUGUCUACCCUGUGAUGGAGAAGGAUAAGAGGCUUAUGGAAGCUUCCUGAUGGGAGAGACUGCCUGAGGAGGAAACUGGGUCUUGUUCUGAUG
ensembl:lncRNA